UUUUGAUUUAACGAUGACAUGUGUCAUAUUCUUAUCGAAUGUUGACUCUAUGAACGAUGAAAAUGUAUCGUUGUUAUCAACAUUGAAUCAAAAUGUGACACGUGACAAUUAACAUUC
rfam:Glycine soja cultivar W05 scaffold6420_19, whole genome shotgun sequence.